GACGAACGCUGGCGGCGUGCUUAACACAUGCAAGUCGAACGCUGAAGCUCAGCUUUUGUUGGGUGGAUGAGUGGCGAACGGGUGAGUAACACGUGAGUAACCUGCCCCCUUCUUUGGGAUAACGCCCGGAAACGGGUGCUAAUACUGGAUAUUCACUGGUCUUCGCAUGGGGGUUGGUGGAAAGGGUUUUUCUGGUGGGGGAUGGGCUCGCGGCCUAUCAGCUUGUUGGUGGGGUGAUGGCCUACCAAGGCUUUGACGGGUAGCCGGCCUGAGAGGGUGACCGGUCACAUUGGGACUGAGAUACGGCCCAGACUCCUACGGGAGGCAGCAGCGGGGAAUAUUGCACAAUGGGCGCAAGCCUGAUGCAGCGACGCCGCGUGAGGGAUGGAGGCCUUCGGGUUGUGAACCUCUUUCGCUCAUGGUCAAGCCGCAACAAUGGUUGUGGUGAGGGUAGUGGGUAAAGAAGCGCCGGCUAACUACGUG
rnacentral:rRNA from 1 species